rnacentral:sRNA from 1 species
UUCUUCUUGCAUUCUCUUCCCAAUCCAAUUCUUCUUCUUCUUCAUCUUCUUCUUCUAUGCUUCUUCUGCUCCAAGAGUUGUCUA